GGGGGCGGGUGCUAUAAUGCAGUCGAGCGAACAGACGAGGAGCUUGCUCCUCUGACGUUAGCGGCGGACGGGUGAGUAACACGUGGAUAACCUACCUAUAAGACUGGGAUAACUUCGGGAAACCGGAGCUAAUACCGGAUAAUAUAUUGAACCGCAUGGUUCAAUAGUGAAAGACGGUUUUGCUGUCACUUAUAGAUGGAUCCGCGCCGCAUUAGCUAGUUGGUAAGGUAACGGCUUACCAAGGCAACGAUGCGUAGCCGACCUGAGAGGGUGAUCGGCCACACUGGAACUGAGACACGGUCCAGACUCCUACGGGAGGCAGCAGUAGGGAAUCUUCCGCAAUGGGCGAAAGCCUGACGGAGCAACGCCGCGUGAGUGAUGAAGGUCUUCGGAUCGUAAAACUCUGUUAUUAGGGAAGAACAAAUGUGUAAGUAACUAUGCACGUCUUGACGGUACCUAAUCAGAAAGCCACGGCUAACUACGUGCCAGCAGCCGCGGUAAUACGUAGGUGGCAAGCGUUAUCCGGAAUUAUUGGGCGUAAAGCGCGCGUAGGCGGUUUUUUAAGUCUGAUGUGAAAGCCCACGGCUCAACCGUGGAGGGUCAUUGGAAACUGGAAAACUUGAGUGCAGAAGAGGAAAGUGGAAUUCCAUGUGUAGCGGUGAAAUGCGCAGAGAUAUGGAGGAACACCAGUGGCGAAGGCGACUUUCUGGUCUGUAACUGACGCUGAUGUGCGAAAGCGUGGGGAUCAAACAGGAUUAGAUACCCUGGUAGUCCACGCCGUAAACGAUGAGUGCUAAGUGUUAGGGGGUUUCCGCCCCUUAGUGCUGCAGCUAACGCAUUAAGCACUCCGCCUGGGGAGUACGACCGCAAGGUUGAAACUCAAAGGAAUUGACGGGGACCCGCACAAGCGGUGGAACAUGUGGUUUAAUUCGAAGCAACGCGAAGAACCUUACCAAAUCUUGACUUCCUCUGCCCCUCUAAGAAAAAAAUUUUCCCCUUCGGGGGACAAAAUGAAGGGGGGGGCUGGUUGUCUCACC
rnacentral:rRNA from 1 species